rnacentral:rRNA from 1 species
UGGGGAAUAUUGCGCAAUGGGCGAAAGCCUGACGCAGCGACGCCGCGUGGGGGAUGAAGCAUUUCGGUGUGUAAACCCCUGUUGCUCGGGACGAAAAACUGGUUUUGACCAGUCUGACGGUACCGGGUGAGGAAGCACCGGCUAACUCCGUGCCAGCAGCCGCGGUAAUACGGAGGGUGCGAGCGUUGUCCGGAAUCACUGGGCGUAAAGGGCGCGUAGGCGGUCUGCUAAGCGUGCGGUGAAAGCCUGGGGCUCAACCCCAGGUCUGCCGUGCGAACUGGUGGACUGGAGCACUGUAGAGGCAGGUGGAAUUCCGGGUGUAGCGGUGGAAUGCGUAGAGAUCCGGAAGAACACCAGUGGCGAAGGCGGCCUGCUGGGCAGUUGCUGACGCUGAGGCGCGACAGCGUGGGGAGCAAACAG